GGGCGAGUGGCGGAACUGGUAGACGCACUGGCUUCAGGAGCCAGCGGCCGCAAGGCCAUGAGGGUUCAAGUCCCUCCUCGCCCACCA
rnacentral:tRNA from 1 species